CUGAGGUGAAUGUGGCUUCAACGUUGGCGGUGGGAUUUGGAGAGGUUUCUCACAUCCACGAUGCCUAUGGUGCAUGUGCAGUACUUGUCCAAGCAUUUGUACUGCAUCUGCAGUUACAAGCCGACGACAUUACAGAUUGAAUCCUGACCUGAAUUUAGACCGAAGCAGAUCCUUCAGCUCUGGUUCACGGUUAGUAUAUUUGUUGAGUUAACCUCUGUAUUGCCAUGCCUAAUAAUUUGGUAAGACAAGCUAAAAUUGUUGGGUCUAUCAUAACAAUAAUUAAAUUAUUUGUUCAACAGA